rnacentral:rRNA from 1 species
UACAGAGGGUGCAAACGUUGUUCGGAUUUACUGGGCGUAAAGCGCGUGUAGGCGGCUUGGCAAGUCGGAUGUGAAAGCCCACGGCUCAACCGUGGAAGUGCAUCCGAAACUGCUUCGCUCGAGUCUCGGAGAGGAAGGUGGAAUGCUUGGUGUAGAGGUGAAAUUCGUAGAUAUCAAGCAGAACACCUGCGGCGAAGGCGGCCUUCUGGACGAGGACUGACGCUGAGACGCGAAAGCGUGGGGAGCAAACAGG